GAUCACUGAAGUUAAGCAAUGUCAAGCCUGGUCAGUACCUAGAUUGGUGACCGCUUGGGAAUACCAGGUGCUGUAA